GCUCAGUCUUGGAUCUGCAGGCAGUCUGGAGACAGAAUUCUGUCCCCCUUAGGGGAUUUCAGGCUUUUCUCUUAAGGCCUUCAACUGAUUGGAUGAGGCCCACCCACAUUAUGGAGGGCAAUCUGCUUUACUCAAAGUCUACUGAUUUAAAUGUGAAUCACCCCUAAAAAAAUAACUUCACAGCACCAUCUAGAGGUAUUUGAUAAAACAACUGGGCACCAAAGCCUGGCCAAGUUGACACAUAAAAUUAACUAUCGUCCCAGCCCCUUAAAAGACUGGUUAUAUUUUUGUGCCAUUACUAAAUUAUGGAAUAGAGGAGAAAGGCUGGAGACAAAUUUGAGGAGAAAAAUAACAUCAGUUUGGAAAAUGUUGAAUUUCAGUUGGUCAUGUUGUGUGGUCAAUUGGAACAGAUGCACAGGGACAGAUCUUUCCCAUGGGCCAAAUUUAGAGAUCUUACUGGAAGCCAUAGGACCGGAUGAGGCUAGACCACGAGAGACUGUUCAUUCAUUCAACAACAGAUGUCUUCUGAGUGCCUCUAUGGGCCAGACAGACAGGGGGACCAUAGUGUACCCAAGAUAAAAUUCCUAUCCUCAUAGACCUUAAAUUUUAGAAGGGUUGGUAGGCAAUAAGCGAAUCUUCACAUAGAUAUAUAAUUUCAAAUAGUGAUAGGUAUAAUUUACUGCUGCCUAACAAACCAUCCCGAAACUUGGUGGCCUCAAACAGCUUUUAUUUGCUUAUGAUUCCAUGGGUUGGCAACUGGGGAGAGACCAGCUGGAGCGGCAUGUCUGAGAUCCAUGCCAUGGCGUUGUGUUCACUCGUGCUUUUGCCAUCAGUUGGCAGAUGCUGCACGGCGUUUGGCUGGGGCUGUCAGCUGAUGUGUCUCAGUUAUCCCCCUGUGGCCUCUCCAGAAGGCUAGUUCAGGCUCCUCACUUGGCAGUUGGGGUUCCAUGAGGGCAGUCUCCUAUUGUUCAAGCACUUAUCAGGCCUCUGCUUAGGUCACCCUUUCUAAUGUCCCAAUGGCCAAGGCAAAUCAUAUGGCUAAGCCCCGAAUCGUCAUGAGAGGGGACAACAUGAGAGCAUGGAAUUCAUUAGGAAGUGACCAUUAGCCUAACAAUCUAACCUGUGCUAAGUGCAGUGAAGAAAAUCAGAACAGGGUAAAAAGAGAGAGAAUUAACUCAGAAGAGGGGGCUUUAAUGGACAGGGUGGUCAGGAAAGUGACUUUUGAGCGGAGACCUAAAUGAAGUAAGACACCUAGUCAUGUGAAGUUCUGGAGGCAGGGGCAUGCCGGAUGGAGGGAACAGCAAGUGCAACGAUCCUGAAGCUAGAACCAGCUUGACGUGCUCAAGAAAGCCUCCUGAGGACACAGUCUUUUCUUCAAUCAAUGGAACUGGGUCCAAACACUGGCUCAGUUCUGGAGGGCAGGCAUCUGGAAUGAGGCUCACGGGGCUAAAUCAAGGUGUCGGCAGGGCUGCUUCCUUCUGGGGGCUCCAAGGGAGUAUCCACUCCAUGCCUCCCCCAGCUUCCAGAGGCUGCUGCCAUUCCCUGGCUUGUGGCCCCUCGUCUGCAUCACUACGACCUCUUGCUUCCUUCUCAUCUGCUACUGCUGAAUCUGAUCUCCUGCCUCCUCGUGACACGUGAUUACAUCGGACCCCUACGGAUAACCCAGAAUAAUCUCAAAAUCCUCAGUUUCAUCACAUCUGCCAAGUCUUUUUUGCUGUACAAGCUUGCUUGAGACCUCGCCAAAUGCCAUGUGAAUCCGCCAAUGCCAGCUAAGUGGGGGAUGAGAGGUCCCAUGGAGCAGAGCUCAGCCAUCCCAUGUGAGGCCCCAGACACAGGAGGAAGCCAAGGUAAGAUCAACAAAGGUGAUCUUUGUGCAGCUGGCCUGCAGAGUCAUGAGUGAGGCCAGCGGGGAACUGCCCAGCUGAGCGCUGCUCCAACUGCCCACCUAUAGAAUCACGCCCUCAGUGAAGGAUUGCUGUUUCAGCCACUGGAUUUUGCAGUGACUUGUUAACACAGCAAAGCUGUUACAGCUAGUUAAAUAAAUUACUUUCUAAAUCCCAAUAUCCUCAACGUACAAUAGGUUUGCCAACACCUACAUCAUGGUCACUGGGAGGACACAAUAAGAUGGUGGUUGUGGUGUAUCAGGCACCGUAACAUGUGCUGAGCAAAUGGUAACUAAAGACGUUGGUCACAUCAGAGAGACGGUCAAGGGAAAAACAGUGAAAGGAGAGCGUAAGAAGAAAUUACUUAGAAAUCCACAUUUUGCUCCCUUCUGCCUCAUGGAGUUUCUUCAUUCGUUGUUCCACGGGCAUGAGUUCAGACUACACAUCACGAAUCUGCAUUUUUCGGCUCAUUAUUCACCUUUGAAAACCCUCCUCCUAGCAUUCUUGUUUUCUGGACCUUUCAACACAUAUGCAAUGG